CACAGAGAUUUAAGUUCUGCGUAAAUUUUGCUUUUAGAAAGCGGUCCAGCAGAAAAUGGUUUUUAAAUCGUGGUUCCGGUGCAAAGGCAUCGCAUCAACUUCCGGCAGGAAGUGAACGUUUCGGGUGUGAGGGACCUUCGAAUCGAGGCGAUGCGGACAAAGUGAACCAGAGUGUUGCAGAUUGACGAAGCUUUACGGAAUAGGAAGAACAACAUGGUGGUCAACGCGAAGAAGCCGCUUCCGGUUGUGAUGCAGUGAUUGUGUAAUGACGUCCCAAACUACGAUGAAAGGCUUUCGGGAGGGAUCUGGUCCAAAUACAAGCGUGGAGAAAUUACCAGAAUGCUGCUUCAGGGGACCUUCGACCAGUCUACCACACUUGGAGCGCUGCAGUUUUGCUUCCUGCUGUCGAUCAUGGUAGGAGUAGAAGUUUGGCCACGACAGAAGCAAUCACCAUCUUAGCAUCGAAUUAGAAUUCGCACGAUAUUCAGACUCAAUCGAAGAGCGUGUUCUAAUGAUCGUCAAGCAAAAAAUAAUGUUGACCACUAUCCGGAAUGGGUAGUAAGGGCGCCAACUUUACCAAACAAAAGUUGGACGAUAUUAUGCGGUUUGGUACGGAGGAACUGUUCAAGGAAGACUGCAAGGAUAACCACGAUUUCAAGAGCGUUGAGGCGAAAAGUUACCACCAAGAAAAAAGUGAAGAUCAUCUAGCAAGACGCGGACAGUUCCGAUCCCGCGUACUCCGUCAUCACUUUCAACAGAAGCAGGAAGGCAUGUCACGCCAAGAGCUUUCUCAGGGGGUACUGGAAGACAAACCACAAACGAAACAAACCUAUAUAUUUUGAACAAAAUAAAUAACGCAAUUCAAAUUCCGCUGA